rnacentral:piRNA from 1 species
UAGCCUUGCCACACUCACCAACUG